GUUGCUUCCUCUUUGUUCUUCAGUUCUGCCUGCCCCUGCCCCUGCCCCUGGGAAGCACCAGAGAACAGACCCUGUGGCUGCUGUCCCUUCGAGGGGAGCUGGUGGCUUCUCUGCAAGAUGCCAGCCUGAUGGGACUGCAUGUGGACAUCAACACCGUCACUAUCACCAUCCCAAAUCCAAGGGUAGCCCCAUGGGACGACAGCCAUCAGGCACAGGAUGCACCCUGCCAUGUGCACCAAAUCCUCGCUGCCCCACAGCCAUGCCAGGAGGCCCGAGGAGCCCCAGGAAUGCAGGCUCUCUUUAGGGUGGCCCAGAGCCUGGAAUUUACCAAAAUGGCCGUCCCCACCGUCCUCUUCUUCCAGUGGCGGGUUCGGGAAGGGAGUUGCCUGUCUCAGUGGCUAUGCCGAGGACCAUUCCAUCCCACCAUCCCCAGGACCAGAGACCCCUCCAGCAGGACGCCAUCUGCUGCCUCUUCCCAGUUCCAGGCUGCAGGAUCAGCUGCCUCGGGAGCCUCCGGGAAGGGCUUUCUCAGAGCUGCGCUCGCCAGCCUUUCGAUGGGCUGGCCAAUGCAAGUCCGCCUGUGGUUUCCUCUGAAGGGCCCAUCCCAAGAGGCCUUGGAGGACCCUCUUACCCCCAUUCUUCCAGAGGGAACCCCGCUCUGACCUCUGGCCAUGUCUCCUCCUCCUCCAAUUCAG
rnacentral:lncRNA from 1 species